ensembl:rRNA 5S_rRNA 5S ribosomal RNA
GACAUUUGGUAGAGACUGUUGAAGCCACCUGGUCCCAGCAGACUCCAGAAGGCCACCACAUUCGCUGGUGCUGGGGCAAGGUUAUUAAGGGUAAAGCCUGGUGCCAGAUGUGU